rnacentral:rRNA from 1 species
CACAGCAGAGCCGACAGCCUAGCCCUCGCUGGGCUGAUAUCACUGACAGCUAAGCACGCUGCACCUUUGAUUCUAUAUAGUAUGAGUCACAAAAAUAUACACGGAAACGAUCCAGCUUCCAGAGGUUGAGCCUGCUC